GGUAAAAAAAAGGUAAGCUACUAAGAGCGAAUGGUGGAUGCCUUGACUGGUAAAGGCGAUGAAGGACGUACUAGACUGCGAUAAGCUACGGGGAGCUGUCAAGAAGCUUUGAUCCGUAGAUUUCCGAAUGGGGCAACCCAAUGUAUAGAGAUAUACAUUACCUAUAUAGGAGCGAACGAGGGGAAUUGAAACAUCUUAGUACCCUCAGGAAAAGAAAUCAAUAGAGAUUGCGUCAGUAGCGGCGAGCGAAAGCGCAAGAGGGCAAACCCAGUGCUUGCACUGGGGGUUGUAGGACUGCAAUGUGCAAGAGCUGAGUUUAGCAGAACAUUCUGGAAAGUAUAGCCAUAGAGGGUGAUAGUCCCGUAUGCGAAAAACAAAGCUUAGCUAGCAGUAUCCUGAGUAGGGCGGGACACGAGGAAUCCUGUCUGAAUCCGGGUCGACCACGAUCCAACCCUAAAUACUAAUACCAGAUCGAUAGUGCACAAGUACCGUGAGGGAAAGGUGAAAAGAACUGAGGUGAUCAGAGUGAAAUAGAACCUGAAACCAUUUGCUUACAAUCAUUCAGAGCACUAUGUAGCAAUACAGUGUGAUGGACUGCCUUUUGCAUAAUGAGCCUGCGAGUUGUGGUGUCUGGCAAGGUUAAGCAAACGCGAAGCCGUAGCGAAAGCGAGUCUGAAUAGGGCGCUUAGUCAGAUGCUGCAGACCCGAAACGAAGUGAUCUAUCCAUGAGCAAGUUGAAGCUAGUGUAAGAACUAGUGGAGGACUGAACCCAUAGGCGUUGAAAAGCCCCGGGAUGACUUGUGGAUAGGGGUGAAAGGCCAAUCAAACUUCGUGAUAGCUGGUUCUCUCCGAAAUAUAUUUAGGUAUAGCGUUGUGUCGUAAUAUAAGGGGGUAGAGCACUGAAUGGGCUAGGGCAUACACCAAUGUACCAAACCCUAUCAAACUCCGAAUACCUUAUAUGUAAUCACAGCAGUCAGGCGGCGAGUGAUAAAAUCCGUCGUCAAGAGGGAAACAACCCAGACUACCAGCUAAGGUCCCUAAAUCUUACUUAAGUGGAAAACGAUGUGAAGUUACUUAAACAACCAGGAGGUUGGCUUAGAAGCAGCCAUCCUUUAAAGAAAGCGUAAUAGCUCACUGGUCUAGUGAUUUUGCGCGGAAAAUAUAACGGGGCUAAAGUAAGUACCGAAGCUGUAGACUUGCACACAACUUAGAUUAUUUAAGUUUAGAAUAUGAGAAACUAAGUUAUGUUUAGUUAUAUUUUUACUGAUUUUUAUAGAGUAAAGAUAGAAAUAAAACUUAGUAAAAUCAGUAAAAAUAUUCUUAGGCUAAAGUUAAGUAGUUUAAGUUGUGUGCAAGUGGUAGGAGAGCGUUCUAUUUGCGUCGAAGGUAUACCGGUAAGGAGUGCUGGAGCGAAUAGAAGUGAGCAUGCAGGCAUGAGUAGCGAUAAUUAAUGUGAGAAUCAUUAACGCCGUAAACCCAAGGUUUCCUACGCGAUGCUCGUCAUCGUAGGGUUAGUCGGGUCCUAAGUCGAGUCCGAAAGGGGUAGACGAUGGCAAAUUGGUUAAUAUUCCAAUACCAACAUUAGUGUGCGAUGGAAGGACGCUUAGGGCUAAGGGGGCUAGCGGAUGGAAGUGCUAGUCUAAGGUCGUAGGAGGUUAUACAGGCAAAUCCGUAUAACAAUACUCCGAGAACUGAAAGGCUUUUUGAAGUCUUCGGAUGGAUAGAAGAACCCCUGAUGCCGUCGAGCCAAGAAAAGUUUCUAAGUUUAGCUAAUGUUGCCCGUACCGUAAACCGACACAGGUGGGUGGGAUGAGUAUUCUAAGGCGCGUGGAAGAACUCUCUUUAAGGAACUCUGCAAAAUAGCACCGUAUCUUCGGUAUAAGGUGUGGUUAGCUUCGUAUUAGGAUUUACUCCGAAAGCGAAGAAACUUACAACAAAGAGUCCCUCCCGACUGUUUACCAAAAACACAGCACUCUGCUAACUCGUAAGAGGAUGUAUAGGGUGUGACGCCUGCCCGGUGCUCGAAGGUUAAUUGAUGGGGUUAGCAUUAGCGAAGCUCUUGAUCGAAGCCCGAGUAAACGGCGGCCGUAACUAUAACGGUCCUAAGGUAGCGAAAUUCCUUGUCGGUUAAAUACCGACCUGCAUGAAUGGCGUAACGAGAUGGGAGCUGUCUCAAAGAGGGAUCCAGUGAAAUUGUAGUGGAGGUGAAAAUUCCUCCUACCCGCGGCAAGACGGAAAGACCCCGUGGACCUUUACUACAGCUUGACACUGCUACUUGGAUAAGAAUGUGCAGGAUAGGUGGGAGGCUUUGAGUAUAUGACGCCAGUUGUAUAUGAGCCAUUGUUGAGAUACCACUCUUUCUUAUUUGGGUAGCUAACCAGCUUGAGUUAUCCUCAAGUGGGACAAUGUCUGGUGGGUAGUUUGACUGGGGCGGUCGCCUCCCAAAUAAUAACGGAGGCUUACAAAGGUUGGCUCAGAACGGUUGGAAAUCGUUCGUAGAGUAUAAAGGUAUAAGCCAGCUUAACUGCAAGACAUACAAGUCAAGCAGAGACGAAAGUCGGUCUUAGUGAUCCGGUGGUUCUGUGUGGAAGGGCCAUCGCUCAAAGGAUAAAAGGUACCCCGGGGAUAACAGGCUGAUCUCCCCCAAGAGCUCACAUCGACGGGGAGGUUUGGCACCUCGAUGUCGGCUCAUCGCAUCCUGGGGCUGGAGCAGGUCCCAAGGGUAUGGCUGUUCGCCAUUUAAAGCGGUACGCGAGCUGGGUUCAGAACGUCGUGAGACAGUUCGGUCCCUAUCUGCCGUGGGCGUAAGAAGAUUGAAGAGAUUUGACCCUAGUACGAGAGGACCGGGUUGAACAAACCACUGGUGUAGCUGUUGUUCUGCCAAGAGCAUCGCAGCGUAGCUAAGUUUGGAAAGGAUAAACGCUGAAAGCAUCUAAGCGUGAAGCCAACUCUAAGAUGAAUCUUCUCUAAGCUCUCUAGAAGACUACUAGUUUGAUAGGCUGGGUGUGUAAUGGAUGAAAGUCCUUUAGCUGACCAGUACUAAUAGAGCGUUUGGCUUAUCUUUAAUAAAGCAU
rnacentral:rRNA from 1 species